GCCUCCGUGGCGCAAGCGGCUAGCGCGUUUGGCUGUUAACCAAAUGGUCGGUUUUUCGAGCCCAACCGGGGGUG